rnacentral:rRNA from 2 species
CCUACGGGAGGCAGCAGUGGGGAAUUUUGGACAAUGGGCGCAAGCCUGAUCCAGCAAUGCCGCGUGCAGGAUGAAGGCCUUCGGGUUGUAAACUGCUUUUGUACGGAACGAAAAGCCCUGGGUUAAUACCCUGGGGUCAUGACGGUACCGUAAGAAUAAGCACCGGCUAACUACGUGCCAGCAGCCGCGGUAA